rnacentral:rRNA from 1 species
UACGUAGGGUGCGAGCGUUGUCCGGAAUUAUUGGGCGUAAAGAGCUCGUAGGCGGCUUGUCGCGUCGGUUGUGAAAGCCCGGGGCUUAACCCCGGGUCUGCAUUCGAUACGGGCAGGCUUGAGUGUGGUAGGGGAGAUCGGAAUUCCUGGUGUAGCGGUGAAAUGCGCAGAUAUCAGGAGGAACACCGGUGGCGAAGGCGGAUCUCUGGGCCAUUACUGACGCUGAGGAGCGAAAGCGUGGGGAGCGAACAGG